GUAAGAUUUGUCUCUCUUUCCUUGUUCGGUUCUGAUUGAUAUUAACUGUUUUGUAACUCGUGAAAACAGAGAUGAAUGUGAUCGCUGCUUAUUUGCUCGCUGUGUUGGGGGGCAAGACCAGAAUCGAAGACAUCAAGAGCAUCCUUGGCGCCGGUACCUCUUUUUGCUCUCUUUGCUUCAUUUAAGCAUUGUGUUGUUAAACAUAUGCCCAAAAUUUGUGUCUUUCUGAUUGAUUAGUGUUGUUGAUUUCGAAAUUCAUGUUCUGUAUUCCUACUUUACCAUGUGGGUUUUCAAUUUUGAGACUUAGCAAUAGCAUUUUCUAUUAUGUAACUCUACCGUAGCGUUUUGUUUGUUAUUACUUAAGACUCAAUCCAAUGAAAAUGAUUUAUUACUGACUACAAUGGAUUGGGGCUCGAGGAAUUGGGUUUAAAUGCUAUGCGUUUUGAGUUGUUGAAAUCUGUUUUAGGAUUAACAUGACUUGUAUUUAGAAGCACUUUUGUUCGUAUACAUUUUUCACUCAUUUUCCAUUGUUAUUACAACAUAUUGAACCUUGUGGUUUUUCUUUUUCCCAAGUGUUUCUAGUAUUUGCAUUAUCCAUCUGCAAUGAAUCUUAGAGCAAUUAAUAUUGUAAAUCGGGAUUGUUAUGUGUAUUUUGAUCAGUUGAUUGAGUAGAACUGUGCAUGUAGAGGGUCGGGUUUUAAUGUUCAUAGUGAUAACACAUUCAUCUUUUUCACAGUUGGUGCUGAAGCAGAUGAUGACAGGCUUCAGUUUCUUCUCAAGGAAGUUCAGGGAAGCUGCUCUUGAUUUGGUAGCUAUGAUGUCAGUGGAGAAUUAUGUUUAAUUUUUAACUUCUCUGUAUAUGUUGCAUAAGGACAAAUUUUAGGAUUAAGGACUGAUGUCGAAUUCAAUUUGGGGCAAAUCUCAGACACAUGAGCCAAGCCUUGGGCAUAGACAUAUCAUAAUCGUUUCUUCAAUCGCAUAUCAUUUGCCUUCGUACAGUCGUGAUUCAUGCUAAAGAGGU